rnacentral:rRNA from 1 species
AUUGAACGCUGGCGGCAGGCCUAACACAUGCAAGUCGAACGGUAACAGGAAGCAGCUUGCUGCUUCGCUGACGAGUGGCGGACGGGUGAGUAAUGUCUGGGAAACUGCCUGAUGGAGGGGGAUAACUACUGGAAACGGUAGCUAAUACCGCAUAACGUCGCAAGACCAAAGAGGGGGACCUUAGGGCCUCUUGCCAUCGGAUGUGCCCAGAUGGGAUUAGCUAGUAGGUGGGGUAACGGCUCACCUAGGCGACGAUCCCUAGCUGGUCUGAGAGGAUGACCAGCCACACUGGAACUGAGACACGGUCCAGACUCCUACGGGAGGCAGCAGUGGGGAAUAUUGCACAAUGGGCGCAAGCCUGAUGCAGCCAUGCCGCGUGUAUGAAGAAGGCCUUCGGGUUGUAAAGUACUUUCAGCGGGGAGGAAGGGAGUAAAGUUAAUACCUUUGCUCAUUGACGUUACCCGCAGAAGAAGCACCGGCUAACUCCGUGCCAGCAGCCGCGGUAAUACGGAGGGUGCAAGCGUUAAUCGGAAUUACUGGGCGUAAAGCGCACGCAGGCGGUUUGUUAAGUCAGAUGUGAAAUCCCCGGGCUCAACCUGGGAACUGCAUCUGAUACUGGCAAGCUUGAGUCUCGUAGAGGGGGGUAGAAUUCCAGGUGUAGCGGUGAAAUGCGUAGAGAUCUGGAGGAAUACCGGUGGCGAAGGCGGCCCCCUGGACGAAGACUGACGCUCAGGUGCGAAAGCGUGGGGAGCAAACA